AUACGGAGGGUGCAAGCGUUACUGGGAAUCACUGGGCGUAAAGGACGCGUAGGCGGAUUGGAAAGUCAGAUGUGAAAUCCUACAGCUUAACUGUAGAACUGCAUUUGAAACUUCUAAUCUAGAGUAUGGGAGGGGGAGAUGGAAUUAGUGGUGUAGGGGUAAAAUCAGUAGAUAUCACUAGGAAUACCGAAAGCGAAGGCGAUCUCCUGGAACAUAACUGACGCUAAGGCGUGAAAGCGUGGGGAGCAAACGGGAUUAGAUACCCUAGUAGUCC
rnacentral:rRNA from 1 species